GCCUUUGGUCGAGCUUAUGGAUAGGAACUAUAGGAAAGAGCUGAUCAAUCCCCCAGAGGUCAGGGAUCGAAGUGAAAACCGAUAGGUUGAUAUUGUAAGUCUGCAUCGGAUCCGACGCGCCUAUAGCCUCGAAGAUCAGCACCUAAUGAUGAGAGACGAUCGCCUCCCACUCUCGCUUCAUAUCACCAGAUGCUUAACCGAUCUCCUGUCUCAUACAGACCGAACAGAAGCCAACAACAGCUUCAGCAUACUCCUCGAGAGUAUAACCAACAGAAGCCACUUGCUUUGAUAUUAGGUCUGAGAAGUUCAAGUUUGUUGCAGCAGAAUUUUUUGGUGAUCCAAAAGCUACUAAACUGAUUAACUAUAAGGGUAAAUUAGGUGGGAUAGACUUGACAUAUAAUGACUCUGAUGCCAUUGAGUUGUGUAUGUAGAUUCUAGAGGAUGUUGAGAGAAAAGAAUGGUCGAACUAUGUCUACACUUUGCCUGUGAACAGUAUCUGCGAAGUUUUCAUUGUUGGGGUGACUACUACAGGUGAGAUUGUUCUUUCAGAGAAGGUUACAUCUACACCGUUUUAUGUUUUCUACUUCAGUCCCGAAAGAAACACUCUCCAAAGAGUUGAAAUCUGAGGUGUUGGAGAAUACCAUGAAGCUUUUGAGACUGUCUGCACAGUUCGCGGCUUUGUAAACUAUGUAGUUGAUUCUAAGUUAUGGCUAUGAAUGUGUCUUCUAGAUCACAGGUUCUGUGUGAGUUUUAUCACUUUGUUGGCUUUUCAUUUUUUUGUUUAAUGUUCUCUACUUACACCUUAUUUGAGAACUAUUGAUAUUUUAAUAAUAAAGUUUAAAUGUUUGGGAUUGGCGUUUUGCUUUAACCGUUCGUUAAAAAAUAUACUCACACACUGAGUACCAUGGAAAAAAAUUUAAUAAAUAAAUCACUAGAAUUCAAAACAUUAAUAAAAUGAUUGUUAAGAGACAAGUUUACGACGAGCUGCAAGUCAUCAAGUAACUCUGCAGGAGAGGAGAGUUUACGGUAUAACCUCUCUCGACUGUUUUUUCCACUCUCUUCAUGGAAUGAAUCUUUCCAAAGUAUAUCUUUAUCAUCAUCAUCAAUCAUCAUCACUGGUUCUAUUUAGAGAAAAAUUACAAGAACAGAGAUAGAUCAUGAGAUGCUGAAAUGGAAACAUAUAAAAUUACUUGAGAUAACUAAGCAACUUUGUGUUUUAGAGAAAUACUUCAACACUCAAUAUAUGAUGUUUAAUUACAAGAGUUUUGAGUUCUAUUUCAUCCGGAGGCAUAAAUGCCAACACUGCUCCAUAUUGUUAUCCAUAAACCUUGAAAUGUCAAUGAGUCUCUUCAGAGAUAUUAUCAGAACAGAGGUAUGGUCAUGAGAUAAUGUUGACAUGGAAACUAUAUAAAAUUACAAAUUACUGGAGAUAACUAAGCAUCUUGGCUUUUACUUUUAGAAAAUACUUCAACUCUCAAAUAAUGUUUAUUUUCAUUCUUUUUUAUCAGCCUUGCAGAAAAUUAAACUCUCAAAUAACUCUCAAAUUCUGUUAGUGGAUGCUUUAAAAUCCAUGAAGAUUGUCGAAACUGAUUUGAGUCUUGAUCAAAGCUGAGAUAUCGCAUGUGUGGAAAUAAGGUAUAGGUGAGAUGAAACUACGUCACCUUUGUUAAUUAUUCUCUAAGUAAAUAUCUCCCCAACAAGAGAACCAUUCACUCGACACUCGUACUGCAUAGACUACACAGUUCACACACUUCAAUAUCCAAGAGCAUCAACUGUCACUGAAUCCCAUUUUCCUUUGCUACAUUAUACUUUUGUUUAUCAAAAUUUUCAUACUCAAAAUAGCUUGCUUUGAUGUUAGGUCUGAGAAAUUCAGGUUUGUUAAAGUUGGGGUAUUAUAUUGAUAAACGAUAAAGGCAAACUAUAUGUAGUUGGGAGAAAUGUGAUGAUGAUGCUUACCUAUGUGGGUUCUAGAGGAUGUUGGGAAACAUACAUGGUAAAAUAUACACUCUACAAUUUGCCGAAAGAUCUCGUUGACUGGAAAGUUUGGGUCUUUGGAGUUACCACAACAGAUGAGAUUAUUAUGGCGACGACUUGUAACUUUACAUCUGAACUGUUCUAUGUUUUUUACUUCAAUCCCGAAAGGAAAACUUUUCAAACCGUUGAAGUCCAGGGUAUUGAAGCAUUUAGGUCUAGUUACCUAGUUCACGCCUUUGUAGACUUUGUAGAGGACACCUCAAGUUUAUAACAUAAGUAUGGAUUUCGUCGUCGUUGGUCUUUCGUGUACUCAACGAGUGUUCGAUUCUAUAUUUGUUGUUUUCGAUCGUUUCUCUAAGAUGGUCCAUUUUAUAUCUUGCAAGAAGACAACAAACGCUGUUCAGGUGGCUGUACUUUUUUUCCGCGAGGUCUAUCGGUUACAUGGCCUUCCUUCAUCGAUCGUCUCGGAUCGUCUCGGAUCGUGAUUCUCGUUUCCUUGGUCACUUCUGGUGGUCCCUUUGGAAGUUGCUUGAUACUAGUUUGGAUAUGAGUUCGGCUUAUCAUCCUCAAACGGACGGUCAAACAGAGGCUGUUAAUCGUUCCCUUGGAAAACCUUUGCGUUCUCUGGUUGGUGAUGCUGUUCGAACUUGGGAUUCCAGGUUACCACAAGCUGAGUUUGCUCACAAUCAUGCAGUCAACCGCAGCUCCGGUUUCAGUCAUUUUCAGGUCAUUUACGGUAUUGUACCGCGUGCUCCAGUUGACCUGUCGUCUCUUCUGGAUCGUACCCGUUUACAUGGUGAUGCAUCUGUCUUUGUUGACACGAUUCUGGAUACGCAUGCGCGAACAUCAAUACAACUUGAAGCUUCGACCAUCAAAUACAAAGCAACUGCUGACUCCCGCCGUCGACGAGUUGUGUUCGAUGCAGGUGAUUUGGUGUGGGUUCAUUUGACUCACGAUCGCAUGCCUUCUCAUGCUUACAACAAAUUGAAGUCUAAAAAGAUUGGCCAUGUCCCGGUGGUAGCUAGGAUCAAUGAUAACAUCUACCGUGUGCAGAUUCCAUCCGACAUCACCACAUUCGACGUCUUUAAUGUGCGCUUCCUUACUAAGUUCUUCCCUUCCGAUGAGCCUUCUGAUUCGAUGAGCCUUCCGAUGAGCCUCCUGAUUCGAAUCCCACUCACCUCGGGGGACCUGAUGCAGCAGCAUCAUUACUUUUGGCGCCAACUUAAGUGUUCAAAACCCGUUAGCUUAUGAUUUUGGUUUUAAACGUUAUUUCCUUUUUAUUCUUAGUUUUAGGCUUUUAUUUCGAAUGACGGUUUAUGAUAUCCUUAUCCUUAUGGGAAUUUUCCAAAAUGGAUGGAUAUAAAACAGAGUUUUGUCUUCCUUGUUUGAUACGUAUUGAUUUAAUAGAAAGUGCUUUUGCUUUAUACUUAUUCGAUUAAAUUCAUCAAAAACAGGAAGUUGGUCUGAAGAAACUAUCGAAAGAAACUCUUGAUCGACCCAAGAACAGGUCUCGAAGAACCUUAAAUUCUUAGAUCGACCGUUCACCCAUUCGUACGAUGCACCAGUUUGACAGCUCUAUCUCAUUAACAGAUUUUGUGUUAAGUGUAUCACUUUGUUGGCUUUUCAUAAUUGUAUUUCUUGUUUUCAGUUACAUGCAUGUCUUAAUUAAUUGUGUUAAAAUGUUACCUCGGAGCAAAAUAAUGUUUGAUCCCAGUUGCAUUUUCAUAAACUUCUUUUUCAUAAUGGUAUAAGUUUAAGGAUUCUUCUUUUUAGAUCUCUUUUGUAUAAUUGUUUCUUUGAAUUUUAAGAUCACUAGGUGAUGGCUGGUCCACAUUCUACAAAGGCAUAAAACAGUGGAUAAAGAAAAAGAACCAACCAAAAGAUGCAUGUUAAUGUAUAGAGACAACGUAGAAGUUUCCUAAGGCAUGUAUAAGACCCAUGUUAGAUGUGUCCCGAUGGUGCAUUUCAGCAUAUAGUCUAUUUGCUUAACAUUCAUACUCCCCAAGAUGAUCCAUUUUAUACUUUGCAAGAAGACCACAGACGUUGCUCAGGUGGCUGUACUUUUUUCCGUGAGGUCUAUCGGUUACACGGCCUUCCUUCAUUGAUCGUCUCGGAUUGUGAUUCUCGUUUCCUUGGUCACUUCUGUUGGUCCCUUUGGAAGUUGCUUGAUACUGGUUUGGAUAUGAGUUCAGCUUAUCAUCCUCAAACGGACGGUCAAACAGAGGUUGUUAAUCGUUCCUUUGGGAACCUUUUGCGUUGUCUGGUUGGUGAUGCUGUUCGAACUUUGGAUUCCAGGUUACCACAAGCUGAGUUUGCUCACAAUCAUGCAGUCAACCGCAGCUCCGGUUUCAGUCCUUUUCAGGUUAUUUACGGUAUUGUACCGCAUGCUCCAGUCGACCUGUCGUCUCUUCCGGAUCGUACUCAUUUACAUGGUGAUGCAUCUGCCUUUGUUGACAUGAUUAUGGAUACGCAUGCGCAAACAUCAGAACAACUUGAAGUUUCGACCAUCAAAUACAAAGCAGCUGCUAACUCCCGCCGUCGACGAGUUGUGUUCGAUGCAGGCGAUGUGGUGUGGGUUUAUUUGACUCACGAUCGCAUGCCUUCCCAUGCUUACAACAAACUGAAGUUUAAAAAGAUUGACCAUGUCCAGGUGGUAGCUAGGAUCAACGAUAACGUCUACCGUGUGCAGCUUCCAUCCGACAUCACCACAUCCGACGUCUUUAGUCUGCGCUUCCUUACUAAGUUUUUCCCUCCCGAUGAGCCUUCUGUUUCGAGGUCGAAUCCCGCUUACCCCGGGGGACCUGAUGCAGCAACAUCAUUACUUUUGUCGCCAGCUUAAGUGGUCAAAACCCGUUAGCUUAUUAUUUCGGUUUUAAUCGUUAUUUCCUUUUUAUUCUUAGUUUUGAGCUUUUAUUUCGAAUGAUGGUUUAUGAUAUCCUUAUCCUUAUGGGAAUUUUUCCAAACGGAUGGAUAUAAACAGAGCUUUGUCUUCCUUGUUUGAUACGUUUUGAUUUAAUAGAAAGAGCUUUUGCUUUAUACCUUGUUUAGAUUCGAUUAAAUUCAUCAAAAACAGGAAGUUGGUCUCAAGAAGGUAUCGAAAGAAAAACUUUUGAUCGAUCCAAGAACAGGUCUCAAAGAACCCUAAAUUCUUAGAUCGACCGUUCACCCAUUCGUAUGCUGCGCCAGUUUGACAGCUCGAUCACAUUAAUAGAUUUCGUGUUAAGUCCAUCACUUUGUUGGAUUUUCAUAAUUGUAUUUCUUGUUUUCCGUUACAUGCAUGUCUUAAUUAAUUGUGUUAAAAUGUUACCUCCAAACAAAAUAAUGUUUGAUCCCAGUUGCGUUUUCAUAAACCUUUUUUCGUAAUGGUAUAAGUUUAAGGAUUUUUCUUUUAGACCUCUUUUGUAUAAUUGUUUCUUUGAAUUUUUAGAUCACUAGGUGGUGGCUGGUCCACAUUCUACAAAGGCAUAAAACAGUGGAUAAAGAAAAAGAACCAAUCAAAAGAUGCAUGUGAAUGUAUAAAGACAUAGUAGAAGUCUCCUAAUUCAUGUAUAAGACCCAUGUCUAUUUGCUUAACAUUCAUACGCCCCCACCCCAAAAAAAAGAAUCUUCUUAUUCCAACAUUCUCUUAUGCUAACACUAGGCUUAGUAGUGCCAAUUCACACCUGUCUUAAAAUUAAAACCAGAUUUAUCAUUGAAGACAACUGUUAUGAUAAAUAUUCACUAUUAACUCAAAAACCUCCUUUCAAAAUAUAAUGGUUUUUAUUUGUGUCAAACUGUUACAGUGCCUUAGAGUUGCAUUGUGAACAGUUAUGAAAAUGAAAGAGAAUUAGGGUAUUUUGCUGGCUUAUGUAAGGUUCUUACACAAGCUAUUCCACAGCCAUGUGGUCUUUGCAGAAGCCACGAAUGAGUCCGAAGGAUUAGGAGGAUGUGCUAGAAGAACGUUGCGUUUAUCCGUCUGCCAUUUGCUAAGAAAAUAAGAUAGAGAUUCGUCACGGGAGAUGACCAUUAAAUUUGCUGGAUCUGGAGUUCGAUUAUGUACCCAACCCGAUAAUUUGUCGAAAAUAUAGUGGCCUCCUGUUUCAAAACAUAAUAAGAUCGUGAGUGAGAUAAUAGCUCAUAUGGUUAUUAACAUAUCGAACUCAUUUUAAGAAAGAAAGAAAUAGCAUAGCCAUAGUAAGAAUGUAAACAUUAUAGAAGAAAUAGCAUAGCCAUAGUAAGAAUGUAAACAUUAUAGAUAAUGAUAAAACAAAUGGAAAAUAGUUCAUUUUUUUCUGCGUAAGAAAAAACAAAAAUAGUUAAAAAGAUUAACUGGAGUUGAUGUGGAGGUGAUUAAGAACAACUCCAGUGGAAGAGAGAGCUUUCUUGACGGAAGGAGGAAUGUGAUUCAUGUUGCCAUAGGCAGAGAUAGAGAUUGGACCACGGUAGUUCAACUUACUCAACGCCGAGCUUAUCUUCUGAGAGAUCUCCUCGGCUUUGCAACCCUUGGGAAUCGGACAGUUCUCAAUGUCCCAACAAACCCACGUUGGAGCCUCCUCAAAUUUAGCCUCCGCCACCUUGUUGUUUUCCAUAUCUAUAUCUAGUACUUUAAACACAAAAAAAUCAAAAUUGAAUAAAUUUGUAAAUCAGAAAUCUUUAGGGAACAUAACCAGUUAAACUUAAGAUAAGAAAAGGAUCGUGAAUUAAAUCCUCCUGUAUUGAGACCUGAGGAGAGAUAACAGGGACAAGAAGAUAGGCGUAAAUACUCAAUGUUUCUUGUCUGAUACCAAACAUAUAAACCUUAACCCUAAGUUCUGACUGGAUUCCAUCAAAACCCACUUAUAACAGUAUUGAAACUUGAGGAGAGAUAACAGUGAAGAGAAGAUAACUCACAGUAUUGAGGCAGAGAGAUCACAGGGACGAGAAGAUCUUCAAUGUCUCGAGGGUUUUUUUUCCUUCUUUCUUUCCGUGUUUUAGGAUGUUUUUGUGAGAGAAAUAAUCACUUAUAUAUUAUUUGAGAAGCAUUACAUUUUUUUCUAUAAAAGAUAUAAAUGAUCGAAAAAACCAUAUGAGUAGAAAUCAUCAUUUAAUAGACAUUAAUAUUAAAAAUAUACUAAAAUAUAUUAUCUAUGUUAGUAUCAUUUAAAUUUAAUUACAUAUCCUAUCAAAUAUAAAAAAAUAUUUUUUGGACUAAUAAAAUUAAUUUAUAUGUUCUCACCAAUUUAAUUAUAUAUUUAAUAGUUACUGAACUUUAAUUAUUUAAUAUAUAGUAAUUAUUUCAUAAUAUGUAAAAAUAUUUAAUACAUAAAAUAAUUUAUAUAUAUAAUGUUGAUUCCGCGUAAGGCGCGGGAAACCUAGUUGUAAGUAUUCGGACCGCCAAAUGUUUUUCCAUAACCGUAGUCGGUGGUGAAGCCUGGCCGGGCCUUCUUUUAAAAUGGACCACCCAAAUUGGAACAUAUCUUAUAUAUUAACUAAGAAACAUUAACCUUUUAAGUGUAGACACGUGUCAUUACCAGAAUAAAAUUCAGAAUCUUUAAAAAAUAUGUUGGUCCAAUUAAGUAUAUAUUAUAUUUUUCAUUAAAUUAAUCAUAAAAUUAAUUAAAAUGUACAAUUAUUAUUUUCUUUUCUUUCCUUGAAUAAAAGCUACGGAAUUACCAAAUAUGACUAAUAUAUAUAUAUAUGACAAUUAAUGAUUCUAAUAAUAAAGAUUUGAUAACAAUUUAUAUCUCAUCCACAGUUUUUGUUUCCAUCGUUUUUGUUUAAUUUUAUAUUAUUAAAAUAAAUUAAACAAUCAAAUUAGCUAUAUAAUUAAAAUAUAGAUUUUUUUCGUAUAUGUUAUAUUUUGAAUUUUAAAAAACGACAAAAUUACUAAAACUGUUAAAAUUAUUAUGUUAAAAAUUAAUGAUCAAUGGUUUAACAUCCCAUAUAUAUUAAUAGAAGAACAUUUAAAAAGCUUAGAACCUGUAAUUUGUACUAACUAAAAAAAUGUCAUACUGAGUUGUCACGUAAUUGAAAUGUUAAUUUGUUUACGUGACGGCUUGAAAAUCAAUCGAGAAUUUUGUUAGUCCAAAAUUAAAUUGCGAGGAAAUGUUAUAUUAUAUAGUAUGUCCAUUAUGGACCAUUCAUUUAACAAAUUAAAAUUUAUUAUAUAUUAUUUCCUUAAAUAAAACCUACAGAAUAAUCUGUAUACUUUCUAUCAUUUUUGUUUAAUUCUUUAUUAUUAAAAUAAACUACACAAUUACAUUAAUUAUAUAUUAAAAUUUUAGAUUUUUUUGUAUAUGUUGUAUUUUGAAUUUUUCAAAACGAGUAUAAAUUACUAAAACUGUUAAAAGUCUCACUAAUCAAUGUUUAAAUUUUUUUCUAUAAUAAGAUACAAUGAUGAUAAAAUCAUAUAAAUAAAUAAUUUUAUUUUAAUAGGUGUUUAUGUUAAUAUAUAUAAAUUAUUAUUUAUUAUUUCAUAAUAUGCAUAAAAUAUAAAAUAAGUAAUAAAUAUAAAAUAUUUAUUCUGCACAAGGCGCAGAUCUUAACCUAAGUAUGUAUCUCUUUAAUAAUUUUGAAUCUUAAACAUUUUCUAAAUUUCAGGCCAAAAUAAAAGAAAGAAAUGAGAAUGAACUCAAAAAUCAAUAUUUAUAUCGGGCAAUAACCAAAAUGACACAAAAAAAAAAAAAAUAUCGUAGAUAGAUAGGAUUGACACGUGAACGUAAACUUCUCAUAACCAUAAUUAACUUUUAAAUUGCUAAAUCAUGAUACAAAACCGAGCUGACAUAGUUUCAUUGUAACCAAACAGUAGGCAUGAGAUUCUUCGGCCUAAAUGUUAGGUUUUUAUGUGAUAAAUAAUUUUUUGACCUAAAAUAUUUUUAAAAAUGAGAUCAUUUCAUUAGCAAAUAAAUUAUGUAAUUAACAAAAACGUGUUAAAAAAAUUGUUUAAGGGCCAAAAAUAUUAAUUCGGUCAAUAGUAUAAAUUUUAUUUUCCAUACGAUAUUUAUUAAAUAAUUUUCAUAUAAAUUUAACAUGCGCAAGGCGCAGGUCUUAUCCUAGUAUAAUACUAAUGAGUCUUAGAAUUUUCAAGUCUAGUGUUAUUGGUUUAUAGAUUCUCACAUUCUCAUUAAAAUCUAAUGUUAUUGGUUUGAUGAUUUUAUAAUUCUAUACAAAAUCAUUUGUUAUUCAAAAAUUUUAGAUUUUAAUGAUUCUACAAAUCUAUUAAAGUAAGUGUUAUUGGGAAUUGAAUUCUUAACAUUUUAACUCACAAAACAAUAUUUUGAGAAUACUACAUGUUUCUCUUGAAUUCUUAGAAACAUUACGUUACUUUAUUUUCAUAAAUUUUCACAAUAUACAAAAUUUUCUAUAAUUCUAUCCAAAUUUUUCAAUUUUUAAAAUCAACAAACUUUGCAGAAAUCUACUAACAACCUCUUAGGAGAGAGGUUCGUGGCAGGCCCGUUUCUCCCUUAAAGCAGCUAAAGCACAAGCUUUAGGCCACAUAAUUCUUAAAAAAAAAUUAGGCCACAUCUUAAAUUUUGUAUACAAGCCUUUUUCAUUUAUUUGAGUUGAUAUUAAUACCAAAAUUGCGUGAUCCUCAUUCCUUUUUACGAGUUUCCAUUGUCUAAUGUUAUAGCUAUCAAAAUGACAUUAAAUUAAAAGGAAAUUUAACUUAUUUGACAAAAAAAAGACAAAAAAAUUCUAUGAAGGCCACAUUUUUUUUUUCAAAUGCUUUAAGCCACCUAAUUGUUUGGGACAGCACUGGCUCGUGGAAUCCUAACCAUAAACUUAUUUAUAAUUUAUACGUAUCCGGUAUCCCUCUCAUGAUUAGAGGAGAAGAUUAUGUUUCCAUCCCGACCGAUCUCAUUCCCGAGAUACUCUUAAGAUUGCCUGGAAAGUCAAUGGCAAGGUUUAGUCGCGUGUCAAAGCUAUGGCUGUUCAUACUUACACGUCCACGUCUUUUAUUCGUACUCGAACAAGUCAACGGGGAGUUGAUCUUCUUCUCCUCGCCUCAUCCUCAGAAGAAUCCAUAUGAGAAGUCUUCUCCUGUGGUAGCUGCUGAUUUUCUCAUGAAGUUCUCUCAAGACAUGUUGCCAGAAUUUCGUGGGCUUUCUUCUGGUUUGAUAUAUUUCUCUAAUAUGCGUCUCUCAAAGAAGGGUUGGAAAAGAGUGCGUAUGAUAUACAAUUUGAACACAAGACAGUAUGUGAAUUUACCUAAACUGAUGAGAUACAGAAAGUCCAAUAGCUUUUUAGGGUUUGAUCCACUUGAUGUUAGGAGUUUUCAAGGUUCCUAAGAUAAAUGAUGUAGUAUAAAAGAUUGUCGAACCGAUUCUAAGAGAUUUCAAAGCACCGAGAAUGCAAGUACGUACUUAAUCUAAAUACAACCGAUAAUUUGGAUGGUUUUAAACUACUACUAAUAAUAGAAUGCAAGAAAAGAACAAUAAAACAAUAAAAGAAGUGACUUUUUUUGGUUAUGAUAAAAGAGAACUCAUGGGUAUAGGAAUUAGACCUUGGGUGAUCAAGUUUCGAACUAAAAAUGGCAAAUGAUUAAUCAUGUAGAGAAAUACAAAUAAUAGAUAUGAAAACAACAGAAUUGCAAUAACAAAAUGAUCAAUUGAUUCAAAGAGAUGAACUUUCCAAGAGGUUUUGGUGGUUUUCUUUUGAUAAAAGAUAAUCUGCCUCUAAUGGCUUACAAAAAGAUACUUAAUCUUAGGUUUAAAAAGUAAAAACGUGCAUAAUGAAAUGACCAAAAGGCCCUUGAGUAAACAUGAAGUCGAGCAAACAAAAAGCGCGCAGCGACCUCCAGUAGUCGCUCCGAGAGGUCGCUCCAGGCUUUGGGAGCGACCUGGAGGGGUCGCUGCGAGACGUCGCUCCGGGUCGCUCUUCGCGAGCUACCUGGUUGUGUCGCUCCGGUCACGUCGCUCCCAGCUGGAGCGACCUUAUGGUGUCACUGCGGAACGUCGCUGUAAGGUCGCUCUCGUGCCUCCGAGCGAUGAAAACGCGAGCGACAUCGGGGUAUCGCUCUGGCCAAGUCGCUCUGAAGGGGUGUCACAACGACUUCACGGUGUCGCUCUGGUGAGGUCACUCCCAUGCACUGCUCGUCCAAUGAUCAACUUUAUCACCUCUUUUGAGCUCCAAAUGCACCCAAAUGUUUCCAAGAACUCCAUGUGGUAUUCCAAUACCUGAUAAAGACUCAUGUAUGCAAAAUGCAACCUAAACAUGGCUAAAUCCUAGUCUAUAUGAUUAAAAUGCACAUGGAUGAAUGUAUAAAACAAUAGAAAUAUGCAAGAUAUCACCACUUUACAAGCAAUUCAAAGUAUUGUUAAUGGCUUAUAUAGGUUGUUCUGAUGAUCAAAUGGAGGAAGAUCAAAUGUGGGUUAUUAGGGGUAGGCAUCAAUGGGAUAUGCAUCAAUGGGAUUUUGUAUUACAUAGGUAAAGAUAAUGUAGUAGGUGAUAGUUACUUGAUGAUUUUCUUUGAUGUUAGGUCUGAGACAUUCAAGUUUGUUGCAGCAGAAUGCUUUCGUGAUCCACAAUCUACUAACCUGAUUAACUAUAAGGGUAAAUUAGGUGGGAUAGACUUGACAUAUGAUGACUCUGAUGCCAUUGAGUUGUGUAUGUUGAUUCUAGAGGAUGUUGAGAGAAAAGAAUGGUCGAAAUAUCUUAUUGUGCUAUGUUAUUGUUAUCUUCUCUAUAAGAUAUGGUGAUAAAUGAAUGCAUCUCAAUGUAUGAUCUCAUUCACAUUAUCAGACUGAUGUACCACUUUACAUUUCUUGUAGCGUGAUGUAUGUUACAAUAUACAAUUCUUCUUCUCUAAAUCUAAGCUCAUCAAUCUUCAUGUGCGUGAUUGAUCUUUAUAUCUCACGUUCAUCGUUCGGCUUGCUUGGUCUUUUUAUAGCUAGAUGAUAUUGUGUCGAUAAAUCAUGUAAAAUUUAUUUAAUAGGGGACAACAAUCAUUUUUUUCUUUCUUAUUCUUCUGUUUCACUCUCUCUUUAGAAAAAAAUAUAAAUAUAACUCCAGUUUUUGUAUUUUGAAGUAUGAUUCCAAUUUAUAUAUCAACCAUGCAUAUGUUUUCUAAUAUAUAUGAACAAGAACAAACCACAAAAGUGACACGACACGUUCAUCUACAAAUUGAUAACAUGAACCAUAUAGGAUACUAUGCCAUCUUCGUAAAGCUUUUUUCUUGAACCACUUAAAUUUGAUUCCUUCUUAUCUUAUACUAUUGGAUUGUUAUAUGUUUUUUUUUUGCAUGAUCGCCAACAACCUGACAGCUAGAACGAAGACAACACACUAUCUUGAAUAUGCUUUUUUUUGUCCAAAGUUUUCUCCACGUAAAAAGGAAAAUAUGUCCAAGCCGUGUUCUAAAAUAUAAAGAAAAAUACAAUACAAACGUGAGCCACAUAAUAUUCAACCGCUUCCCAAAGCCUAAUCAAAAAAGAAGCAAGUCAAUAACAACAAAUACAUGUCAGAGUCUAACAUAUAUAACAUGUGAAUGUUGUCUUGCUCUCUUUGCUAUUAACCACAUCGUCCACGACGGCGUUCCAGUCUUCAAGAUGCGGCCAAACCUAAGGCCUAAGAUAAUGAAGGGGCUACUUGUAGCAUUGCAUACAAUUCAUCGGUUUGAAAGAGACUCAUAAAAAUCUAGUGGUAGACAAGAAGACCAAGUUGUUCAUCGUUUGAACUUGAAAAAAAAAAGUUCUUAUAAUGGUCUUUUAUUUUUAUAAAAAAAUGAAAUAACAUACAAAGAUCCGAAUUUCACAAAAGUGAUUUUUAUCAUUCGGAUCCUCAAAUUAAAACCUUAAACAAAGAUGGUUCUCAACCAUAUGAUUAUUAUUUUAAAAGAAACUAAGAAAUCGUACAAUGACGAUUUUAUGAUAAGAUGCAACAACAAACCAGACGGACUACCUUUGUCACGCGGAAAGGUAGUCGAAGCCGUCUUCGUCGCUGUAAUAAAAGCCAAGGUUACUAAUCGCAGCUGAAAGGGAGUUACUCAUAGAUGCCGGCUCAGUCGCGAGAUACGGCAUGUUGUUGAAGGAACGAUCAAGACAAGCCACAACGUUGUUCAAUUCCUCAUCAUCUUCAUCUUCACCACCACCUUUGGUAUGCAUCAACUUCUCUGCUCUGUGCUUUAGACUCUGAAACAUUAUCUCAGGCUCAUGCUGCACCGCUCGGAGAACAUCCGCAGACGACUGACCAGGCAUGGCUCGGGUCACUGCAAAGCUAUGCGGUCCAUCGCUCUGAGAGACCCUGACAACGCUUGGCCCGCCAAACAAAUUGUGCACUCCACCUAGCGCCUCCUCGUAAGCCCCUCCAAGAAACAUACCCAAAAAGUAACUUCCUCCACCGCCGCCGUCUAGCUCGUGCAACGGCAAGCUGGACUCGCCGCCUAUGAACUUAUCAAUCUUCCCAUCGCUGUCACACGUCAAAUCCGACAAGACCCCGCGAGCCCCUGGCCUCUGGUCGAGCUUAUGGAUAGGAACUAUAGGAAACAGCUGAUCAAUCCCCCACAGAUCAGGAAUCGAAGUGAAAACCGAAAGGUUGAUAUUGUAAGUCUGAACCGGAUCAGACGCGCCUAUAGCCUUCAGCACCCACUCGCAUAACCCAUCAACAGAAGCCAACUGCUCGAUGCUCAAAACACCGUCUUUGAAACCGUCAACACAUCUCUGCUUCAGCUUGUCCACGUAAA
rnacentral:lncRNA from 1 species